GUUAGGGUGGCAGAGCCCGGUAACUGCGUAAAACUUAAACC
rnacentral:tRNA from 1 species